rnacentral:antisense_RNA from 1 species
CUUGACCGAGCCGAGCAGCAGCGGCCGGUCCUCGGGGCGGUCCUGGCCGUAGGUGGCGAGGACCGCCUGGGCCUC